GACGAACGCUGGCGGCGUGCUUAACACAUGCAAGUCGUACGGUAAGGCCCUUUCGGGGGUACACGAGUGGCGCACGGGUGAGUAACACGUGAGUAACCUGCCCACAACUUUGGGAUAACGCUAGGAAACUGGUGCUAAUACUGGAUAUGUGCUCCUGCUGCAUGGUGGGGGUUGGAAAGCUCCGGCGGUUGUGGAUGGACUCGCGGCCUAUCAGCUUGUUGGUGGGGUAGUGGCCUACCAAGGCGGCGACGGGUAGCCGGCCUGAGAGGGUGACCGGCCACAUUGGGACUGAGAUACGGCCCAGACUCCUACGGGAGGCAGCAGUGGGGAAUAUUGCACAAUGGGCGCAAGCCGGAUGCAGCAACGCCGCGGGCGGGAUGACGGCCUUCGGGUUGUAAACCGCUUUCAGCAGGGACGAAGCUUUUUGUGACGGUACCUGCAGAAGAAGCACCGGCUAACUACGUG
rnacentral:rRNA from 1 species